CAGAGGGGGAUAACGUUUGGAAACGAACGCUAAUACCGCAUGAUAUUAUUGAGCUGCAUGGCUUGAUAAUCAAAGGAGCAAUCCGCUGAAAGAUGGGCUCGCGUCCGAUUAGGUAGUUGGCGGGGCAACGGCCCACCAAGCCGACGAUCGGUAGCCGGACUGAGAGGUUGAACGGCCACAUUGGGACUGAGACACGGCCCAGACUCCUACGGGAGGCAGCAGUGAGGGAUAUUGGUCAAUGGGGGAAACCCUGAACCAGCAACGCCGCGUGAGGGAAGACGGUUUUCGGAUUGUAAACCUCUGUCCUCUGUGAAGAUGAUGACGGUAGCAGAGGAGGAAGCUCCGGCUAACUACGUGCCAGCAGCCGCGGUAAUACGUAGGGAGCAAGCGUUGUCCGGAUUUACUGGGUGUAAAGGGUGCGUAGGCGGCUUUGCAAGUCAGAAGUGAAAUCCAUGGGCUUAACCCAUGAACUGCUUUUGAAACUGCAGAGCUUGAGUGGAGUAGAGGUAGGCGGAAUUCCCGGUGUAGCGGUGAAAUGCGUAGAGAUCGGGAGGAACACCAGUGGCGAAGGCGGCCUGCUGGGCUCUAACUGACGCUGAGGCACGAAAGCGUGGGUAGCAAACAGGAUUAGAUACCCUGGUAGUCCACGCUGUAAGCGAUGAUUACUAGGUGUGGGUGGACUGACCCCAUCCGUGCCGGAGU
rnacentral:rRNA from 1 species